rnacentral:tRNA from 1 species
UGGAGGAGUCUCAUAGUGGUCUAGUGAGCACGACUGGAAAUCGUGUAGGGUGAAUAGCCCUCGCGGGUUCGAAUCCCGCCUCCUCCGCCCA